GGUUGGAUCAUUAAAAAAAAAUUGGUUCUUCCCUUAAAAACGGUUGAACGUCGGUGCUCCUUUAACAAGGAGCUUGACUACUCCAAUUUUUUGUGAACUUGUAACCGAAAAAAAGAAAAUGUUUUUGAUCUAGUAGUGAAAAAAAUUUGGGUGAUUUAUUGCCCAAGUUUUUUUUUCCUUCUUUUGAAGAAAUUAUUUUUUAUUAACUCUGAAGAAUUAAACCUGUCUUUACCGUUUUUUAUAAAUAAAAUAAUUAAUAAACAACUUUUGACAACGGAUCUCUAGGCUCUCGCAACGAUGAAGAACGCAGCGAAAUGCGAUAAGUAAUGUGAAUUGCAGAAUUCCGUGAAUCAUUAAAUCUUUGAACGCACCUUGCGCUCUUUGGUAUUCCGAAGAGCAUGUCUGUUUGAGAAUCAGUUUAAACUAUUUACCCUUUAUAAUUUUUUUUUUCAAAAUUUUUGUUUUGGCUAAGAUCAUGAGGCUCUCAACGUCUUGUUUUAAGGCCUGAAGACUUUGAAAAAAAUUUGCUCCAACCUCCCAUCGCCUCGGGGUAAAAGAAUUGGGUUGUUAGGCUUUAAACCAAGCAUGAUCAGUUGGGCCUUAAAAAAUCCCUCUUCAUUGUUUGUACUCCGAAUCCUAACAUUUCUUUUCCCAACCGAAAGAAGCCAAACUUUAUUCCAAGCCAAAAGUGAAGGGAACAAUUCAACUCCAUUUUCGAAGAAGAUAAUUCUUUCAAACACUUGAUCUCAAAUCAGACAAGACUACCCGCUGAACUUAAGCAUAUCAAUAAGCGGAGGAAAAGAAACUAACAAGGAUUCCCCUAGUAACGGCGAGUGAAGCGGGAAUAGCUCAAAUUUGAAAUCUCAUUGUCUUGCAGUGCGAAUUGUAGUUUAUAGAAGUGUUUUCGGGGAAAGGCCAAGGGUCAAGUCCUUUGGGAUAAGGCGUCAUAGAAGGUGAGAAUCCUGUAUGCGCUUUGGCUCUGAACCUAUGUGAUACACUUUCAAAGAGUCGGGUUGUUUGGGAAUGCAGCCCAAAAUGGGUGGUAAAUACCAUCUAAAGCUAAAUAUUGGCGAGAGACCGAUAGCGAACAAGUACCGUGAGGGAAAGAUGAAAAGAACUUUGAAAAGAGAGUUAAAAGUACGUGAAAUUGUCAAAAGGGAAACACUUGAAACCAGUCUUGUCUCUUGAAUCCCAACUGUCCUAACGGGCAAUAUAUGUUUCAAGAGGCAGGUCAAAGUCAGUUUUUUUUGUUGUAAACAGCUUGUAGAAGGUGACUUACCUUCGGGUGGGUGUUAUAGCUUCAAGUUUUAUGCAAUGGAAAAGAUUGAGGGUCGCAGUGCAGCCUUGGGGUCAAGAUCGCUAAGUUUGACUUUGACCAAGACUACUUGUAGAUUUGGCCAAAGCUUCAAGCUUAAUCGGUUUUUCAACCCACAACUUGUACUUUGGAUUUUGACAAAAUGGUUUAAAUGACCCGUCUUGAAACACGGACCAAGGAGUCUAACACAUAUGCGAGUAUUUGGGUGGAAAACCCAGAAUGCGCAAUGAAAGUAUUAAGGUGGGAUUCCUCCUAAAAAAGGGAUGCACCAUCGACCGGUCUGGAUGUUUACUGAUAGAUCUGAGUAAGAGCAUAUUUGUUAGGACCCGAAAGAUGGUGAACUAUGCCUGAAUAGGGCGAAGCCAGAGGAAACUCUGGUGGAGGCUCGUAGCGAUUCUGACGUGCAAAUCGAUCGUCAAAUUUGGGUAUAGGGGCGAAAGACUAAUCGAACCAUCUAGUAAGCUGGUUCCCUC
rnacentral:misc_RNA from 1 species